AUCGCUUAUGCACGUACACCAUGGCCAUCCAUGCUGACCGUGCAGCGUCCAUGACUGCUCGGGAUACAAUUUUCCGUAGCGGGUAAGCGUACCUGGGCACAAACAGCAAGAAAUUCGUGUGCAGGUCAAGUGUUGUGUAUCCGUGUAUGGGCAGUGUAUAGGUGGACAUGGUCGGACAAUAGUGGUGCAGCUAGCUGCCCAUUACCUUCGCAGCUGGAUAGGCAUAGAUGUGUGCUGUAUCUUUCUCACAUUCCUGACCUUUUGCUGGUCUUAAGUCUCUGUCGGCUAGUCCAUGCACGCUUGCCUGCUCUGGCUUUGCGAUUCAGGUCUUCGCUAGGAUGGUGGUACAUCUACCUGAUGUCAGAAGUUUAACGAUACAGGGCCCUACAUACCAGAAGCUACCUUCAGAUAACAUCGCACAGUGCCGCGUCUGUUGUGAAGUUAUUCCGUGCCAACUGAGUCAUGGGCGGUUUCAUAGCUUCUUUGAGAGCGACGGCUGGGACGCCGCCUGCCUGUGCCCCAGGAUCCACAGGACAAUUUGUUAACACAUCAACGCAAGGUGACGCAGUAGCACUGUCAAUCUGAGGACUUUAUGGAGCAUCCCGGAC
rnacentral:lncRNA from 1 species